UACAGGGGGUGCAAACGUUGCUCGGAAUCAUUGGGCGUAAAGCGCACGUAGGCGGUUCGUUAUGUCGGAUGUGAAAGCCCUUGGCUUAACCGAGGAAGUGCAUCCGAAAACUGGCGAGCUAGAGUACGAAAAGAGGGAUCGCGGAAUUCCCGGUGUAGAGGUGAAAAUUCGUAGAUAUCGGGAGGAACACCGGGUGGCGAAGGCGGCGAUCUGGGUCGAUACUGACGCUGAGGUGCGAAAGCUAGGGGGAGCAAACAGGGAUUAAGAAACCC
rnacentral:rRNA from 1 species